UACGGGGGGAGCAAGCGUUGUUCGGAUUUACUGGGCGUAAAGGGCGCGUAGGCGGUCGUGACAAGUCACUUGUGAAAUCUCCGGGCUUAACUCGGAACGGUCAAGUGAUACUGUCGGACUAGAGUACAGAAGGGGCAACUGGAAUUCUCGGUGUAGCGGUGAAAUGCGUGGAUAUCGAGAGGAACACCUGCGGCGAAGGCGGGUUGCUGGGCUGAUACUGACGCUGAGGAGCGAAAGCGUGGGGAGCAAACAGG
rnacentral:rRNA from 1 species